rnacentral:rRNA from 1 species
GACGAACGCUGGCGGCGUGCCUAAUACAUGCAAGUCGAGCGGACUGAUUAAGAGCUUGCUCUUAUGACGUUAGCGGCGGACGGGUGAGUAACACGUGGGCAACCUGCCCUGUAGAUCGGGAUAACACCGAGAAAUCGGUGCUAAUACCGGGUAAUAUCUGAGAUCACAUGAUCUUAGGUUAAAAGAUGGCUCCGGCUAUCACUACAGGCUGGGCCCGCGGCGCAUUAGCUAGUUGGUAAGGUAAUGGCUUACCAAGGCGACGAUGCGUAGCCGACCUGAGAGGGUGAUCGGCCACACUGGGACUGAGACACGGCCCAGACUCCUACGGGAGGCAGCAGUAGGGAAUCUUCCGCAAUGGACGGAAGUCUGACGGAGCAACGCCGCGUGAGUGAUGAAGGGUUUCGGCUCGUAGAGCUCUGUUGUUAGGGAAGAAACAGUACCGAACGAACUAGGUCGGUACCUUGACGGUACCUAAACAGAAAGCCACGGCUAACUACGUG